UACAGAGGGUGCGAGCGUUGUUCGGAUUCACUGGGCGUAAAGGGUGCGUAGGCGGUCGGGUAAGUCUGAUGUGAAAUCUCACAGCUUAACUGUGAAACUGCAUUGGAUACUAUCCGGCUAGAGGAAUGGAGGGGAGACUGGAAUACUUGGUGUAGCAGUGAAAUGCGUAGAUAUCAAGUGGAACACCAGUGGCGAAGGCGAGUCUCUGGACAUUUCCUGACGCUGAGGCACGAAAGCCAGGGGAGCAAACGGG
rnacentral:rRNA from 1 species